GAUGAAGAACGCAGCGAAAUGCGAUAAGUAAUGUGAAUUGCAGAAUUCAGUGAAUCAUCGAAUCUUUGAACGCACAUUGCGCCCCCAGGUAUUCCGGGGGGCAUGCCUGUCCGAGCGUCAUUACAACCCUCAAGCUCAGCUUGGUGUUGGGCCCCGCCGCCCCGGCGGGCCCUAAAGUCAGUGGCGGUGCCGUCCGGCUCCGAGCGUAGUAAUUCUUCUCGCUCUGGAGGUCCGGUCGUGUGCUCGCCAGCAACCCCCAAUUUUUUUCAGGUUGACCUCGGAUCAGGUAGGGAUACCCGCUGAACUUAAGCAUAUCAAUAAGCGGAGGA
rnacentral:misc_RNA from 1 species